rnacentral:rRNA from 1 species
AUUGAACGCUGGCGGCAUGCUUUACACAUGCAAGUCGAACGGCAGCGCGGGGCAACCUGGCGGCGAGUGGCGCACGGGUGAGUAAUAUAUCGGAACGUACCCAGAAGUGGGGGAUAACGUAGCGAAAGUUACGCUAAUACCGCAUACGAUCUACGGAUGAAAGUAGGGGACCGCAAGGCCUUAUGCUUUUGGAGCGGCCGAUAUCUGAUUAGCUAGUUGGUGAGGUAAAGGCUCACCAAGGCGACGAUCAGUAGCUGGUCUGAGAGGACGACCAGCCACACUGGAACUGAGACACGGUCCAGACUCCUACGGGAGGCAGCAGUGGGGAAUUUUGGACAAUGGGCGCAAGCCUGAUCCAGCAAUGCCGCGUGAGUGAAGAAGGCCUUCGGGUUGUAAAGCUCUUUUGUCAGGGAAGAAACGGUGGAGGCUAAUAUCCUUUGCUAAUGACGGUACCUGAAGAAUAAGCACCGGCUAACUACGUG